AUGUUUCACAUCACUUUUUUUGUUUUUGGACAGGGUCUCUCUCUGUUGCUGCCCAGGCUGGAGUGCACUGGCAUGAACACAGCUCACUGUAGCCUUGACUUCAGGGGCUCAAAGGGUCCUCCCACCUCAGCCUACGGAAUGGCUGGGACUACAGGCAGAGACAAGGUUUUACCAUGUUGGCCAGGCUGGUUUCAAACUGACCUUGUGAUCCACCUACCUCGGCCUCCCAAAGUGCUGGGAUUACAGGCGUAAGUCACCACACCCAGCCCAUCCUUUUACGUUCAACCUAUCUAUGCCUUUAAAGUGCAUCUUUUAUAAACAGCAUAUGGUUGGGUCUUUGGUUUUUAAUCCAGUCUGUAACUAUCUUUCUGUUAAUUAAAUGAUCUCAUCAAUUUACAAAAAUGUUAUUAUUGAUAAUGCUGAGUUUAGGUUUACAGUUCUGUCAUUUUGUUUCUAUUUGUUCCAUUUGAUUUUGUUUCUCUGUUUCUUCUUUUCUGUCUUCUUGGGUGUUAAUUGGUUAAUUUUUAGUAUAUCAUUUCUCUGUUGGAUGAAUUAUCUGUUCAUUUUUUAGUUGUUGGAUUACAAGUUGUAUCCUUACUUUAUUAGAGUUCUACGUUGAGUUAAAAUUGUACCACUUGAUUUAAAAUAUAAGUUUAUGGAAACAGUAUAGUACCUCUCAAGCUCAUCUUUGCACUGAUUUGCAUCACUAUAUAUUAUUAAUCUAUACAUGUUAUAAACACAAAACAGCAUAAUUUUUGCUUUAAACAAUCAUGUCUUGAAGAAAUUGAGAGAGAAAAAACAUGAUCUUUUUAUUUACCUGCAUAAUUGCCAUUUUUAGUGCUCUUAAUUUCUUUCUGAGAUCCAAAUUUUCUUCUGAUAACAUUUUUCUCCAGCUUGAAGAGCUUCCUUAAGCAUUAUUUUGUAAUACACGUCUGAAUUUGAGUGGUAUUUAUACAUAGAUUGGGGGAGCCUCCUUUCUCUAUGUCUCUCUCAUUUCUGAGAUAACAUUGAUAAUUUCCAGCCACUUUAGCAGCUCUGAACCCUGUCCUCUGACACCUCAAGUCAGUUAAGCUGACCUUUUGCUUGAAUUGCAGGCUGGGAAGUGUCCUCAGUGGAAAAGUCAUAUAAACUUGAGUCUCACAUAGCAUGGUUCCAUCUUUCAGUGGUCUAACUCCUUUCAGUGUCUGCCCACUUUUAGUUGCUGUCCAGUGCCUUCGAAUAGUUGGCUUUUAUAUUUCAUUGAGAGUUUAUAAAUGUUAUUUGUGGAAAGGCUAGUUUAGUGCGAGCUGCUCUGCCAUUAGAGGAACCAGAAUUUACCUUUCACUUCUUACUCUCAUACCAGUUGGCAAACUUUUCCUGUAAAUGACCAGAUAGUAAAUAUUUUAGGCUUUGCAGGCCAAAAGGCAAAAUUGAAAAUAUUGCGUGGAUAUUUAUAUAAGGAGAGAGAAAAUACAUUUUCACAAAAUUUUUAUUGAUCAUUGGGUUUUUGUCUUAUUGAUUCCUGACAAUAUCUUUAUAUAUUAUGGAAAUUAGCUCUUUGUGAUACAAGUUGCGAAUAUUUUUUCCACCUUGUCAUUUGUCUUUUGACUUUGUGUAGGUCGUUUUAUGCCAUGCAGACUUUUAAAAUUUUUGUUAUGAAGUCAAAUGAUCUGUUUUUUUUUUCCUCUCAUGACUUGUAGAGAUUGAGUUAUAUGUAGCAAAAUGACAGGGAUAUUCUUAGCCAUUUACAUAUAUUAUAUUAUUUGAUGGUUUUAUUUGUAUAAUUUCAGCUAGGGAUAAUUUAACAGGAUAAAAGUAUUACCAUCCCAUCAAGUGUUUUAAAAUAUACAGUUAGCCUAAGUCAAUCUAUGGCUAUCUAAGAAUAGAAAUUUACCCAUGUUUAUCAGUUUUAUGGGUCCUUUUUUAAAAAAAACAAAAAAAUUGGAAUCUUUGCUUUUGUGUUUUCACAAACCCCGUGGAUGAUUCUUGCAUACAUCAAAAGUUAAAAACCACUUAUUGACUGGGCAGAGUAGCUCAUGCCUGUAAUCCUAUACUUUGGGAGGCCAAGGCUUGAAGAUCAUUUGAAGCCAGGAGUUUGAGACCAGCCUUGCCAACAUGGCAAAACCCCAUCUCUACUAAAAAUAUAAAAAUUAGCCAGGCGUGGUGGUGCAUGCCUGUAAUCCCAGCUACUCAGGAAGCUGAAGUGGAGAAUCGCUUGAACCCAGGAUGCAGAGGUUUCAGUGAGCCGAGAUCGCGCCAUUGUACUCCAGCCUGGGUGACGGAGUAAGACUCUGUCUAAUAAAAAGAAAAGAAAAGAAAAGAAAAGAAAAGAAAAGAAAACCACUUCUUCACCAUAUCAUCUCUUGUCUCUCUCCAUCUCAUAUAGAAAGUCCCAUUAAGCCUGAAAGAUCCACUAUUAGCACCUCUGUGGUCUUUGUAUUUUCCUGUAAGACGACCUGGUGCAGCAUUAGGAAAAUCCCC
ensembl:lncRNA